ensembl:lncRNA
UUGAGUAGGAGGAGUCUGGUGUAUCAUUUAGCAUGUAAUAGUUUGUAUUAUAUUAAAAAAAAAAGAAUAUAUUUUGUAAAUACAUUGUUUGAUUCUUUACCGUGUUCUGAUUUUUGAGGCUGUAGCUGUCCUGAUUGUAUAGCGAGAAGACGCGUACAAAAAAAAAAAAAUAUUUAACAACUUUCUUUACGGAAAUAAAGGUGUAUGGAUCAUUGGCAAAUCUGACAGCGUUUGUGCUUCUCCAAAUUAAAAGUGAAUUAUAUUGUAUCAUUCUUGUGUGUGAAGGUUUUUAUUUCGUGUUUAAAUAAUCAUGGUCAGAUUAAACCGUGUCAAGUGAUCAGGUUCUUCAGAUAAGUGGGAUCUAGACGAGACCGUGAAGUUAAAACGCACCAUCUUGCCCAGUGCCAGCUGUGAUGGAACAGGAAGUGUUCAUGUGAUUACUAUCCGAGACCAUCGAUUCAAGCACCUAAUCAGCCGUGUGCUAAUAAACAUGAUCUAAUAACCUUUAAUAAAGUUAUCCUGAGGGACCGACUCUAUGUAUUUAUUUAUUUAUUUAGAGACGGUGCACCGCAUCUGACCACUAGAGGGCGUCAGACGUUUAAGUUUUGAGGAUUUUUUGGGGUGGGGAUGUGGGGGAGGGGAACUGCACUGCACUGCACCUCACUACCAGAGGGUGCCAAAUAUUUGUUGUGGGAAAGUACAUCUUAUCACUAUAGUGCACAAGACAUUUGUUUGUUGGUUUUGAGAAUGUGUGCUGAAUCUAACCAUUAGAGGGCGCCAGACAUUUGUUUGUUUUUGGAGGGUGUGCUGCAUCUAAUCACUAGAGGGCGCCAGACAUUUGUUUUACAUUUGUUUGUUUUUGGAGUGUGUGCUGCAUCUAAUCACUAGAGGGCGCCAGACAUUUGUUUGUUUGUUUGUUUUUGGAACGUGUGCUGAGUCUAAUCACUAGAUGGUGGCAGACUUUUUGUUUAUUUGUUUGUUUAGAUGCAGCACAAGCUCCAAAAACAAUCACUAGUGUGUGCCAGUCAUUUGAUUGUUUUCACAUUUGUUUGUUUGUGGAACGUGUGCUGCAUAAACACUAGAGGGUACCAUCCAUCCAUCCAUCUAAUUCUGUUCAGAAAGGGUGCUGUAUAGAGGCCGCAUGUAUUUGGAAAGUACGAGUGAACUGGAUAGGUCGAAAUUCCUUCGGGGAGUGUUCAGGAACGGGAUAAAAAAAUGUAAAUUCGCACGCCUCUAGCGUUGUCGGAUGAAGGCCAGAAGACAAUUUACUCACCCUGCGAGUGUCAGGAAACUGUACACCUACAAGGAGGAUCUGUGAGGUAAGAGUGUAAUAAAGUGAUGUUCAACACCGGGUUUAAAGACUGAAGCAGUGAUGUAGUGACCCAAAACUUACACACUAUUAAUAGAAUCUGUGAAAGAUUUCACCUUUUAAAAAAAUCUGUUCUAAUAUAUUCUGUAUAUAAUCCUGUACAGAACAUAAAUCAAUAAAGAUUUACACACAAAACAGAAACUCAUCAGAAAUCCCAUCACGAUGAGAUCAUUUAGGCAGCUUUGGGAUUUCUGAGUCUGAAAUUAUUACCGAAUAUCAGCUGGUACCUGUGGAGAACCCUGUGUAAUUACGUGUGUUGAUGGAUGUGUCAUUUGAGAGAAAUGUGUCAGUCUGGAGAGGGUGAAACACACACACACACACACACACACACACACACACACACACACAGAGCACUGAGGACACGAGAGAGAGGG